rnacentral:rRNA from 1 species
GCAGUCGAGGGGUAGUCAUCUUCGGAUGAUGAGACCGGCGCACGGGUGCGUAACGCGUAUACAAUCUACCUUUUACAGAGGGAUAGCCCAGAGAAAUUUGGAUUAAUACCUCAUAGUAUUUUUGAAUGGCAUCAUUUGAUUAUUAAAGUUCCAACGGUAAAAGAUGAGUAUGCGUCCCAUUAGCUAGAUGGUAAGGUAACGGCUUACCAUGGCUACGAUGGGUAGGGGUCCUGAGAGGGAGAUCCCCCACACUGGUACUGAGACACGGACCAGACUCCUACGGGAGGCAGCAGUGAGGAAUAUUGGACAAUGGGCGCAAGCCUGAUCCAGCCAUGCCGCGUGCAGGAAGAAGGUCCUAUGGAUUGUAAACUGCUUUUAUACAGGAAGAAACACCUCUACGUGUAGAGACUUGACGGUACUGUAUGAAUAAGGACCGGCUAACUCCGUGCCAGCAGCCGCGGUAAUACGGAGGGUCCAAGCGUUAUCCGGAAUCAUUGGGUUUAAAGGGUCCGUAGGCGGUUUAAUAAGUCAGUGGUGAAAGCCCAUCGCUCAACGAUGGAACGGCCAUUGAUACUGUUAAACUUGAAUUAUUAGGAAGUAACUAGAAUAUGUAGUGUAGCGGUGAAAUGCUUAGAGAUUACAUGGAAUACCAAUUGCGAAGGCAGGUUACUACUAAUAUAUUGACGCUGAUGGACGAAAGCGUGGGGAGCGAACAGGAUUAGAUACCCUGGUAGUCCACGCCGUAAACGAUGGAUACUAGCUGUUCGGAGCAAUCUGAGUGGCUAAGCGAAAGUGAUAAGUAUCCCACCUAGGGAGUACGUUCGCAAGAAUGAAACUCAAAGGAAUUGAC